rnacentral:lncRNA from 1 species
AGGUUCAAGUGAUGCACAAGAUCGCUGUAUGGUGGAUGAUACUGGCCAAAAUAUUGAUGACUUCCAACAGGAUUUGUCGCAACCAGUGGUCACUCGUAGAAGGACAUCUGAAAGUAAUAAGGAAAGGCAAGAUCAUUGUGAAGAAUGAUAGUGAUGAUGAUGAAAAUGAUGAUGUCGGCGACAGUUGUCUUGUCUUUGCUCAUUUUUGACCAGUGAACACAGACCCACGAAGUUGACAUUGUUUCAAGAGCAGACGUCUAAAAGGUCAAAGACAAGAUCGCUGUAUGGUGGAUGAUAAUGGCCAAAAUAUUGCUGACAUCCAGUGGGUAUUGUCGAAGCCAGCCGUCACUUCGGGAAACGCAGCUCUGCAAUGGUUACUUCUACUGAUACUGCUGACAG